AAAAAUCGAAUAUAGAUACCGUAGACCGUAGGUGCCCCGCGCAACCGUUACCAGCGUUAGCUGAUAACCGGUUGUCGUCAAAGGCUUAAUUUCCUACCGAGGUGUGUGGAUAGAGCUUUUCUCUUUCAAAGUGCAUCGCAUUUUGAGUCUGAGAGCAGAAUCGAAUCAUGCCUCCGCAAUGUCUGCGGGGGCAUUUUCUAUGCCUCU
rfam:Cohnella sp. VKM B-2846 B2846_30, whole genome shotgun sequence.